GGGUUGUGAGGUUAAGCGACUAAGCGUACACGGUGGAUGCCCUGGCAGUCAGAGGCGAUGAAGGGCGUGCUAAUCUGCGAUAAGCGCCGGUAAGGUGAUAUGAACCGUUAUAACCGGCGAUACCCGAAUGGGGAAACCCAGUGUGACUCGUCACACUAUCAUUAACUGAAUCCAUAGGUUAAUGAGGCGAACCGGGGGAACUGAAACAUCUAAGUACCCCGAGGAAAAGAAAUCAACCGAGAUUCCCCCAGUAGCGGCGAGCGAACGGGGAGGAGCCCAGAGCCUGAAUCAGCAUGUGUGUUAGUGGAAGCGUCUGGAAAGGCGCGCGAUACAGGGUGACAGCCCCGUACACAAAAGCGCAUGUGCUGUGAGCUCGAUGAGUAGGGCGGGACACGUGGUAUCCUGUCUGAAUAUGGGGGGACCAUCCUCCAAGGCUAAAUACUCCUGACUGACCGAUAGUGAACCAGUACCGUGAGGGAAAGGCGAAAAGAACCCCGGCGAGGGGAGUGAAAAAGAACCUGAAACCGUGUACGUACAAGCAGUGGGAGCACCCUUUGGGUGUGACUGCGUACCUUUUGUAUAAUGGGUCAGCGACUUAUAUUCUGUAGCAAGGUUAACCGAAUAGGGGAGCCGGAGGGAAACCGAGUCUUAAUUGGGCGUUAAGUUGCAGGGUAUAGACCCGAAACCCGGUGAUCUAGCCAUGGGCAGGUUGAAGGUUGGGUAACACUAACUGGAGGACCGAACCGACUAAUGUUGAAAAAUUAGCGGAUGACCUGUGGCUGGGGGUGAAAGGCCAAUCAAACCGGGAGAUAGCUGGUUCUCCCCGAAAGCUAUUUAGGUAGCGCCUCGUGAAUUCAUCUCCGGGGGUAGAGCACUGUUUCGGCUAGGGGGCCAUCCCGGCUUACCAACCCGAUGCAAACUGCGAAUACCGGAGAAUGUUAUCACGGGAGACACACGGCGGGUGCUAACGUCCGUCGUGAAGAGGGAAACAACCCAGACCGCCAGCUAAGGUCCCAAAGUCAUGGUUAAGUGGGAAACGAUGUGGGAAGGCCCAGACAGCCAGGAUGUUGGCUUAGAAGCAGCCAUCAUUUAAAGAAAGCGUAAUAGCUCACUGGUCGAGUCGGCCUGCGCGGAAGAUGUAACGGGGCUAAACCAUGCACCGAAGCUGCGGCAGCGACGCUUAUGCGUUGUUGGGUAGGGGAGCGUUCUGUAAGCCUGCGAAGGUGGCCUGUGAGGGUUGCUGGAGGUAUCAGAAGUGCGAAUGCUGACAUAAGUAACGAUAAAGCGGGUGAAAAGCCCGCUCGCCGGAAGACCAAGGGUUCCUGUCCAACGUUAAUCGGGGCAGGGUGAGUCGACCCCUAAGGCGAGGCCGAAAGGCGUAGUCGAUGGGAAACGGGUUAAUAUUCCCGUACUUGGUGUUACUGCGAAGGGGGGACGGAGAAGGCUAUGUUGGCCGGGCGACGGUUGUCCCGGUUUAAGCGUGUAGGCUGGUUUUCCAGGCAAAUCCGGAAAAUCAAGGCUGAGGCGUGAUGACGAGGCACUACGGUGCUGAAGCAACAAAUGCCCUGCUUCCAGGAAAAGCCUCUAAGCAUCAGGUAACAUCAAAUCGUACCCCAAACCGACACAGGUGGUCAGGUAGAGAAUACCAAGGCGCUUGAGAGAACUCGGGUGAAGGAACUAGGCAAAAUGGUGCCGUAACUUCGGGAGAAGGCACGCUGACACGUAGGUGAAGUGAUUUACUCACGGAGCUGAAGUCAGUCGAAGAUACCAGCUGGCUGCAACUGUUUAUUAAAAACACAGCACUGUGCAAACACGAAAGUGGACGUAUACGGUGUGACGCCUGCCCGGUGCCGGAAGGUUAAUUGAUGGGGUCAGCGCAAGCGAAGCUCCUGAUCGAAGCCCCGGUAAACGGCGGCCGUAACUAUAACGGUCCUAAGGUAGCGAAAUUCCUUGUCGGGUAAGUUCCGACCUGCACGAAUGGCGUAAUGAUGGCCAGGCUGUCUCCACCCGAGACUCAGUGAAAUUGAACUCGCUGUGAAGAUGCAGUGUACCCGCGGCAAGACGGAAAGACCCCGUGAACCUUUACUAUAGCUUGACACUGAACAUUGAGCCUUGAUGUGUAGGAUAGGUGGGAGGCUUUGAAGUGUGGACGCCAGUCUGCAUGGAGCCGACCUUGAAAUACCACCCUUUAAUGUUUGAUGUUCUAACGUGGACCCGUUACCCGGGUUGCGGACAGUGUCUGGUGGGUAGUUUGACUGGGGCGGUCUCCUCCUAAAGAGUAACGGAGGAGCACGAAGGUUGGCUAAUCCUGGUCGGACAUCAGGAGGUUAGUGCAAUGGCAUAAGCCAGCUUGACUGCGAGCGUGACGGCGCGAGCAGGUGCGAAAGCAGGUCAUAGUGAUCCGGUGGUUCUGAAUGGAAGGGCCAUCGCUCAACGGAUAAAAGGUACUCCGGGGAUAACAGGCUGAUACCGCCCAAGAGUUCAUAUCGACGGCGGUGUUUGGCACCUCGAUGUCGGCUCAUCACAUCCUGGGGCUGAAGUAGGUCCCAAGGGUAUGGCUGUUCGCCAUUUAAAGUGGUACGCGAGCUGGGUUUAGAACGUCGUGAGACAGUUCGGUCCCUAUCUGCCGUGGGCGCUGGAGAACUGAGGGGGGCUGCUCCUAGUACGAGAGGACCGGAGUGGACGCAUCACUGGUGUUCGGGUUGUCAUGCCAAUGGCACUGCCCGGUAGCUAAAUGCGGAAGAGAUAAGUGCUGAAAGCAUCUAAGCACGAAACUUGCCCCGAGAUGAGUUCUCCCUGAGACUUAAAGUCUCCUGAAGGAACGUUGAAGACGACGACGUUGAUAGGCCG
rnacentral:rRNA from 1 species